ACUCAAACCAACUAUAUUAAGGAAGGUGCAAGCUUUUGGGAUUUCUGUUUGGAUUUAGUUUAGGUUCAAAAUAGCACGCACAGAUCCUGAGUGUUGUCAAGCACCUGUGACUGGGAAACGGAGGCGUCCGAUCCGUAUUGGAGUCAAUUCGCCACUUAAUUGAACACAGCCUCGAAGGGAAGGGCCAUAUUUGUGGGCCUGUCUAACAAUUAGAGUGACCACAUGGAAUGGGAAUGAAAGGGUUAAAGAAGAAUAAAUAUUGAAAACAGCUUUUCUAUGAACAAACUGCAGGCAGCUGCUGCUUUGCAAGGGGAACUUCUUGGCUGCCAUUUCUGGAUGUCAAGGCUGCAGAUACACUGGUCAGGACCUUGGGUAGAGAGAGAUGCGUCAGAAUGCGGCUCCUUUCAGAAAGGCUUCUCCGGAGGUUGGUGAGGUCAGCUGACUACUAGAAGACAGAUCUAUUUGAAGAUUUUUCUGGUGGUCUUUACUACUCCAGAGAUUUACAGCUGAUGAAAAAUGGAGAAGUACACGACCCUACCCUGCUGUUGGACAUGCUACCCAAGGAUCAUGACUGACAACUUGUCAGCAUCACUAUUGUUUAUUUAAUAAAUGUGCAGUACUACUUCAAUAAACCUGGAAUCAUAAAAUUUUAGAGAACAAACCUUAAAUUACAU
rnacentral:lncRNA from 1 species